rnacentral:rRNA from 1 species
CGGAGGGUGCAAGCAUUGAUCGGAAUUACUGGGUGUAAAGGGCGCGUAGGCGGCAAGAAAAGUCUGAGGUGAAAUUCCGGGGCUCAACCCCGGAGCUGCAUUAGAAACUUUCUAGCUAGAGGUUAGUAAGGGAAGACGGAAUUCCACGUGUAGCGGUGAAAUGCGUAGAUAUGUGGAAGAACACCGGUGGUGAAGACGGUUUUCUGUGCUAAACCUGACGCUGAGGCGCGAAAGCUAGGGGAGCAAACAGGAUUAGAUACCCUGGUAGUCCUAGCCGUAAACGAUGCAUACUAGAAGUAGGAAGGCUCAACCCUUUCUGUUUCGGAGCUAACGCGUUAAGUAUGCCACCUGGGGAGUACGCUCGCAAGGGUG